rnacentral:rRNA from 1 species
AGCGAACGCUGGCGGCAGGCCUAACACAUGCAAGUCGAACGGAUCCUUCGGGAUUAGUGGCGGACGGGUGAGUAACACGUGGGAACGUGCCCUUUGGUUCGGAACAACUCAGGGAAACUUGAGCUAAUACCGGAUGUGCCCUUCGGGGGAAAGAUUUAUCGCCAUUGGAGCGGCCCGCGUCGGAUUAGCUAGUUGGUGGGGUAAAGGCCCACCAAGGCGACGAUCCGUAGCUGGUCUGAGAGGAUGAUCAGCCACAUUGGGACUGAGACACGGCCCAAACUCCUACGGGAGGCAGCAGUGGGGAAUCUUGCGCAAUGGGCGAAAGCCUGACGCAGCCAUGCCGCGUGAAUGAUGAAGGUCUUAGGAUUGUAAAAUUCUUUCACCGGGGACGAUAACGACGGUACCCGGAGAAGAAGCCCCGGCUAACUUCGUGCCAGCCGCCGCCGUAA